rnacentral:misc_RNA from 1 species
UUGAAAACAAAAUCGCUUAAAUUGCUGUAAUUACUAUAUGUUGUUUUAAAAUCGCAUAAAUUUUGUUAAAUAUUUUUAAAACACUGCAAAAAAGUAAUGUAAAUUCGUGACAACAAAAAUGGCAUCACAUUUGGAUCCUCAACUUGAGGAUAGAAUAUUGCAUGAGGUGAAGUCACAAGGUGUUUUCGAUGAGUUUCGCAAAGAUUCAAUGGCAGACGUGGACACCAAGCCUGCUUACCAAAAUCUGAGACAACGUGUUGAGAAUACAGUUAAAAAGUUCCUAUCUGAGCAACAAUGGACGCCAGACAUGAAUAAAAAUCAACUACGUGAAAAAUUACGAAGACAUAUAACAGAGUCUGGUUUUUUAGAUGUGGGUGUGGAGCGUAUAGUCGAUCAGGUGGUGAAUCCGAAGAUAGGCACAAUUUUCCAACCACGUAUUGAAGAGAUUACAUAUAAAUAUUUAGGCCUACCACCGCCACCUGUUAAGCAUGAACCACCGCCACCACCUAUGAUGCAUCCGUUACCUCCUUUGCCGUUGAGUGCCACGCCUUUGAAAAUAGAAACUAGUAGCCUAUUGCCAACCGGUUUGGAACAAAUAAGCCCUGAUUCUGAUAAAGCAACCGUAAAGUCGGAAUGUCGAGAGGAUGACAGAUCUAUUUUAGAUAUGGACCUUGAUACGGAUGAGAAAGUUGGCGACGAAGAUGAUGAAUCUCCGCCUUUCGAACCUUUAGUUAAGUGUGUUGAUGAUAGUGUUCCCAUAAACACGGAAAAAUUUGAGGGAGCGGAAGAAAAAGUAGUUGAAAAACCUGUAGUAAUAAAGCUAGAAAACUUUGAAAUUGCAAAUACACACAAAUUGAAAGCUGCGAACCAACAAGAAAUACGAGAUUCUGAAACGCAAGAUACCUCAGCAUCAGCGAAUUCAAUAGAGAAAGUUUUGGAAAAAAAUGCCAACAUGUCAUUCGGUGCGGCUGCUUUGGUAUCGCAAGAUUCAAACCUAUCUCAAGUUUCUAGUGAUAGUAAUAUCUCCGAUGUUACCGCUAAUGCAUCACAUAGUUUUACACACAAUACCAAUUCGAGUACACCCAAAGCUCCUGCAACAAUGUCUGAGCAAAUGGAAGCGGCGAUUGAAUUGGCUUCGGCGAAUAUUUCGGAAGAAGCGCAAAUGCCAAAGUUUUCUGAAAAUUCAUCUGAAACGACAGGUGCAAAGUCAACGCCUUCUGAAUUACAUUUUGAUAUAAAAAAAGAUGAGAUUAUAUUUGAAGGUACUGAACGAAAAUCAAAUAUGCUGGAACAGGAAGCUGAAUGCAAUACAGUAACUGAAGAUGAUGUACCUGCGAAUCAAGCGAAUGGGUUUAGUGUUGAAAUGCACAACAAGGAACAACCACAUCACUUUAGCAACCAUUUGGAAAUUAAGGAGCAACAACAUCACUUUGGUAAAUUAACAAUUGAAACCAAAGUGGAGGAAAUAGAUGCAAUGGGCCCAUGUACUCCAGCCCCUACACCAACUCCAACUCCCCAUGACAGUAGUUUUGGUUCUUCAUUAGAGGAUUCAAGUUAUCAGCAGUUUAAGGAAGAUGAAAAAACGGAGGAAGGCGAAUUAAAAACCGAGUCUGUGGCUGAGACCAACGCAACGUUCUCAGCGCCUUUGCUGGAACAAGGCGAUAAAAAAGAGACUAUUACCUCUAAAAAUCAUGGUUCUUCAACGUCAUCAUCGAAGCACAAAAAACAUUCGAAGGACAAAAAACGUUCACAUGAUUCGAAAGACAAGCACAAAGAUAGGCAUCGAAGUAAACACAGGGAUAGAAGUCGGGAUAAGGAUAAAAAUAGUGAUAAGGAUAGAGAUAAAAGCAAACAUAGAGACAAAGAAAGGCAUAGAGAUAAAGAUAGUAGUCGAAAAUAUAAGGAUAAAAAUAGAGAUAAGGAUAAAGAAAGGGAUAGAUCACACAAAGAACAUAAAAGCAGUAAAAGUAAAAGUGAAAAUAGCACAGAACGAAGCAGCAGCUCGAAACGCUCCAGCUCAUCCACAGGACGUUCACACGAUACAAGUUCAAGUAAAAUCGAAAAACACGCUAAUUCGAAACAUCCAAGCUCAUUCACAACAUCGUCAAGCUCAUCAAGUCGAUCUGAAAGUCAUUAUGCGAAACGUGAAAAGCGUGAUUCUGAAAGGAAGCAUCAUCGCAGUUCGUCUAAGAACGAAAGUAGUGCGAAAAGAGAUGAAGAAAAAGUUGAUGUUGUAAAAACAGAGCCAUCCACCGAUGAUCAUGGCCUUGAAAAAGCCAAAGUGCGUCGACGAAAGUCAACUGACUCAAAUGACGAAGACCCGGGUGUCGGUAAUGGUAGUGGACUCAAUGGCAGUAGCGAACGUGCAAAAAGUAGCCUUAGUUCUAUUGGAAUCAGGAGUGACAAACAGACGAGUGAGCAGAAGGAACCCAAAAACUCUACCGACAGCCCUAAAGGAAAGACCAAAAGUGCUAUAGAGGAAUAUGGCUACCACGAAAACCAUCCACAAGAGUUAAUUGUAACAAAUAACGCUAGCGGGACUACUGAAUUGUCGACUCAAAUUCACCAUCGUAGCAAAGUGGUCAUUUUAAACGAUAUGCUUGAAAAUCCAAAUAUCAAUUUUAUAGACUUGGGACCAACAGCAACAGCGUACUCACUCCAUACCCAAGAUAAAUCCUUAAAAGACAACAAAGUGGAGACUACAACAAAUGCUCAACACCCCGAACAAUCUGCCAAUGUGGAUUCAAAGGAACUCUUAUAUUUCGAAGGAGUAAGCGCACAGUUUUCGAAUCGCUUGCGUCUGCUCGACAAUGCAAUGGAUCGUUGUCGGCGUGUGGUGAAUAAUUUACGUUUCGAUUGCGCCAAUGAAUUAUGCGACACUUUCGAAACAGGCGGGGAGCAACAAAAUGCAAACGAAACAAAUAAAAGACCACAAGCAUGUGCAACACUCACAAUCGAUUGUGUGCCCACAUUUACAGCAGUGGGCGGUGUAAAUCGAGAGAAUAGUCCGACUGGUGUUUAUGACUUGCAUGGGUCACGUAAACGUAAUAACAAUGGCAAUUUAAUACAAAGUAAACCAUCACCCACCCCGUCCGAUGCGAGUGUGAAUUCCAAAGAGAAUAUGGCGCUAGAUAAGAAUGCUGAUAUGCAAACAAAAUAAAAUAAAUAGAAAGAAUGAAAUGAAACAAUGAAAAAACCAGUAUGAAGCGAAUUUUACAAGUAUGUUUGUAUGUACCGAUAAAAAACAAAAGAGUAGCGCAACUAAGCGUAAAGCAUGGUAAAGUAAUAUCAUACUAGAAGCGUACUUAAACAAUUUAUAAUAAUUGCCUUGAGAAAAAGUCUUAAGCAAAAGCGAUAAAAACAAUGUAUAUCCUUCAAAUUAUGCUGGAUGAGGUGAAGUGUGUCGUUCGCCGCAUUGCGUCUGUAAAUAAAAUGAGUCAACAGCGUUAUACCAGUGAGGAUUUGUACAAACCACGUCC